AACGAACGCUGGCGGCAUGCCUAACACAUGCAAGUCGAACGAGACCUUCGGGUCUAGUGGCGCACGGGUGCGUAACGCGUGGGAACCUGCCCUUAGGUUCGGAAUAACUCCCCGAAAGGGGUGCUAAUACCGGAUAAUGUCUUCGGACCAAAGAUUUAUCGCCUUUGGAUGGGCCCGCGUUGGAUUAGCUAGUUGGUAGGGUAAAAGCCUACCAAGGCGACGAUCCAUAGCUGGUCUGAGAGGAUGAUCAGCCACACUGGGACUGAGACACGGCCCAGACUCCUACGGGAGGCAGCAGUGGGGAAUAUUAGACAAUGGGCGAAAGCCUAAUCCAGCAAUGCCGCGUGAGUGAUGAAGGCCUUAGGGUUGUAAAGCUCUUUUACCCGGGAUGAUAAUGACAGUACCGGGAGAAUAAGCUCCGGCUAACUCCGUG
rnacentral:rRNA from 1 species